GAUGAAGAACGUAGCGAAAUGCGAUAAGUAGUGUGAAUUGCAGAAUUCAGUGAAUCAUCGAAUCUUUGAACGCACAUUGCGCCCCUUGGUAUUCCAUGGGGCAUGCCUGUUCGAGCGUCAUUUGUACCUUCAAGCUCUGCUUGGUGUUGGGUGUUUGUCUCGCCUCUGCGUGUAGACUCGCCUCAAAACAAUUGGCAGCCGGCGUAUUGAUUUCGGAGCGCAGUACAUCUCGCGCUUUGCACUCAUAACGACGACGUCCAAAAGUACAUUUUUACACUCUUGACCUCGGAUCAGGUAGGGAUACCCGCCGAACUUAAGCAUAUCAAUAAGCGGAGGA
rnacentral:misc_RNA from 1 species